GGAUACUAAAAAGCAAUUGGACAGAACAUCGUUCUAUUUCACAUCACGCAAUUUAAAAAUUAAAAUGUUAGAUUACAAGUUCUACAAUACUAGGUCCACUACCAAACAUACAUUACUAGUCAAAAAAUAUAAUUAAUCUGCUCGUUUUGUCACUAUCAUGCAUGCAUUAAAGAAAGGAAAGAAAGUGCCUGAGUUUAUUAAGUUCCGCGGCAGGACGGAUCGUGCGCGAAGAGAUACGGUGCUGCUUUAAAUUCAUUGCAAUCAAUCUGUCCAUCACCAUCUUUGUCUGCCAGUUGGAAAGCUUUCACGGUUCCUUUGGAGUGUUCCUCCACGCUUAUUGCUUCGGCCAGCUCUUCCAAAGUAAUUCCACCACUUUUGUCAAGAUCAUAGUUUUUAAACUUGUCUGGAAAUGGAACCCGAACUGUAUUUUGUGGUUUGUCAAUUUCGGUACGUUUGCCCCAGGUGCAACGAACUCCACACUGAACUCUGCAUGGAUAGCACACCACACUACACUGCCAGCUACAACCGCGUGACAUUACACUGCUGUACAUUGUGCAGAAAAUCAAAAUGGCAAAAACCGAAAGUUUAUUAACGGAAGUCAUC
rnacentral:lncRNA from 1 species